GUUGGGUAGGGGAGCGUUCUGUAAGCCUGUGAAGGUGGCCUGUGAGGGUUGCUGGAGGUAUCAGAAGUGCGAAUGCUGACAUAAGUAACGAUAAAGCGGGUGAAAAGCCCGCUCGCCGGAAGACCAAGGGUUCCUGUCCAACGUUAAUCGGGGCAGGGUGAGUCGACCCCUAAGGCGAGGCCGAAAGGCGUAGUCGAUGGGAAACGGGUUAAUAUUCCCGUACUUGGUGUUACUGCGAAGGGGGGACGGAGAAGGCUAUGUUGGCCGGGCGACGGUUGUCCCGGUUUAAGCGUGUAGGUGUGUGUUCCAGGUAAAUCCGGUUCACUUUAACACUGAGGCGUGAUGACGAGGCACUACGGUGCUGAAGCAACAAAUGCCCUGCUUCCAGGAAAAGCCUCUAAGCAUCAGGUAACAUCAAAUCGUACCCCAAACCGACACAGGUGGUCAGGUAGAGAAUACCAAGGCGCUUGAGAGAACUCGGGUGAAGGAACUAGGCAAAAUGGUGCCGUAACUUCGGGAGAAGGCACGCUGACACGUAGGUGAAGUGAUUUACUCAUGGAGCUGAAGUCAGUCGAAGAUACCAGCUGGCUGCAACUGUUUAUUAAAAACACAGCACUGUGCAAACACGAAAGUGGACGUAUACGGUGUGACGCCUGCCCGGUGCCGGAAGGUUAAUUGAUGGGGUCAGCGCAAGCGAAGCUCCUGAUCGAAGCCCCGGUAAACGGCGGCCGUAACUAUAACGGUCCUAAGGUAGCGAAAUUCCUUGUCGGGUAAGUUCCGACCUGCACGAAUGGCGUAAUGAUGGCCAGGCUGUCUCCACCCGAGACUCAGUGAAAUUGAACUCGCUGUGAAGAUGCAGUGUACCCGCGGCAAGACGGAAAGACCCCGUGAACCUUUACUAUAGCUUGACACUGAACAUUGAGCCUUGAUGUGUAGGAUAGGUGGGAGGCUUUGAAGUGUGGACGCCAGUCUGCAUGGAGCCGACCUUGAAAUACCACCCUUUAAUGUUUGAUGUUCUAACGUGGACCCGUAAUCCGGGUUGCGGACAGUGUCUGGUGGGUAGUUUGACUGGGGCGGUCUCCUCCUAAAGAGUAACGGAGGAGCACGAAGGUUGGCUAAUCCUGGUCGGACAUCAGGAGGUUAGUGCAAUGGCAUAAGCCAGCUUGACUGCGAGCGUGACGGCGCGAGCAGGUGCGAAAGCAGGUCAUAGUGAUCCGGUGGUUCUGAAUGGAAGGGCCAUCGCUCAACGGAUAAAAGGUACUCCGGGGAUAACAGGCUGAUACCGCCCAAGAGUUCAUAUCGACGGCGGUGUUUGGCACCUCGAUGUCGGCUCAUCACAUCCUGGGGCUGAAGUAGGUCCCAAGGGUAUGGCUGUUCGCCAUUUAAAGUGGUACGCGAGCUGGGUUUAGAACGUCGUGAGACAGUUCGGUCCCUAUCUGCCGUGGGCGCUGGAGAACUGAGGGGGGCUGCUCCUAGUACGAGAGGACCGGAGUGGACGCAUCACUGGUGUUCGGGUUGUCAUGCCAAUGGCACUGCCCGGUAGCUAAAUGCGGAAGAGAUAAGUGCUGAAAGCAUCUAAGCACGAAACUUGCCCCGAGAUGAGUUCUCCCUGAGACUUUAGGUCUCCUGAAGGAACGUUGAAGACGACGACGUUGAUAGGCCGGGUGUGUAAGCGCAGCGAUGCGUUGAGCUA
rnacentral:rRNA from 1 species